rnacentral:tRNA from 1 species
ACCCUGCCCUAGUAGCUUAAACUUUAAAGCAUUG